AAAAAUCCCACAUUUUUGGCUGAAAAGACUGAAAGCAUUGCACCACCACUAUGCCAUGGCUUUCACAAAAAUAUUGAACGGAGUAGAGGACACACCAGACUGGCUAAUGACUGGGAACAUAAGCCUACUUCCAAAGACCAAUGAAACAGAGCUACUCAACAAGUACAGCCCCAUCUGCUGCCUGACAACAACAUAAAUGGCUGACAGGAAUCAGCUGAUGCCUUUUACGAACAUCUUGACACUGGUGGCUACCUGGAAAAUGAACAGAAAUGUUGCAAAAAGAAAAGGU